CGAUGCAACGCGAAGAACCUUACCUGGGCUUGACAUGCGGGGUGAAGCCGGUGAAAGCCGGCGCUCUACGGAGCCCGCACAGGUGGUGCAUGGCUGUCGUCAGCUCGUGCCGUGAGGUGUUGCCUUAAGUGGCGCAACGAGCGCAACCCUUGUCCCUAGUUGCCAGCGGGUAAAGCCGGGAACUCUAGGGAGACUGCCGGUGCCAAACCGGAGGAAGGUGGGGAUGAGGUCAAGUCAUCAUGCCCCUUAUGUCCAGGGCUGCACACAUGCUACAAUGCGUGGUACAGAGGGCUGCGAUCCCGCGAGGGGGAGCGAAUCCCAAAAAGCCACGCUCAGUUCGGAUCGGGGUCUGCAACCCGACCCCGUGAAGUCGGAGUCGCUAGUAAUCGCGGAUCAGCA
rnacentral:rRNA from 1 species